rnacentral:misc_RNA from 1 species
AAAAUGCGAUACUUGGUGUGAAUUGCAGAAUCCCGUGAACCAUCGAGUUUUUGAACGCAAGUUGCGCCCGAAGCCAUCCGGCUGAGGGCACGCCUGCCUGGGCGUCACGCAUCGCGUCGCUCCCCACCAUACCUCCCCAACGGGUUGGCAUGGUGUUGGGGGCGGAUAAUGGCCUCCCGUGCUUGUGUUUCGGUUGGCCUAAAUAAGAGUUCCCUUCGGCGGACACACGACUAGUGGUGGUUGAAUAGACCCUCGUCUUUUGUUGCGUGUCGUGAGCUGUAAGGGUAGCCCUCAUCAAAGACUCCAUUGUAUCGUCUUCGGAUGAUGCUUCGACCGCGACCCCAGGUCAGGCGGGACUACCCGCUGAGUUUAAGC